rnacentral:rRNA from 1 species
CCAAUAGCGUUAUAUUAAAGUUGUUGCAGUUAAAAAGCUCGUAGUUGAAUUUCGGGAUCAGUACGCUGGUCGUGCCUUCGGUAUGUACUGGUGUUACUGGUUCCUACCUUCUGACGAACCGUCAUGUCAUUAAUUUGGUGUGGCGGGGAAUCAGGACUGUUACUUUGAAAAAAUUAGAGUGUCUAAGGCAGGCUAGCGCUUGAAUACAUUAGCAUGGAAUAAUGAAAUAGGAGGUUCGAUCCUAUUUUGUUGGUUUUUAGGAUUGACGUAAUGAUUAAUAGGGAUAGUUGGGGGCAUUAGUAUUCAAUUGUCAGAGGUGAAAUUCUUGGAUUUAUUGAAGACUAACUACUGCGAAAGCAUUUGCCAAGGAUGUUUUCAUUAAUCAAGAACGAAAGUUAGGGGAUCGAAGACGAUCAGAUACCGUCGUAGUCUUAACCAUAAACUAUGCCGACUAGGGAUCGGAUGAUGUUAAUUUUUUAAUGACUCAUUCGGCGCCUUACG